GACGAACGCUGGCGGCGUGCUUAAUACAUGCAAGUCGAACGCACUCGAGUGAAGUUGGUAGGAGUGAUCAGCGGAGUGCGGGAGAGUUAAAUGAGUGGAAGACGCGUUUGUAACACGGAGAUAACCGGGAAUAAGGGGGGAAUUAAGGUUUUGAGACAGAGUCGCAUGCCGGGUAAUAGAUAGCUCCUCAGUGAGAGAUGGGCACGCGGCGUAUCGGCUUGUUGGUGAGGUAGUGGCUCACCAGGGUAAUGACGGGUAGACGGCCUGAGGAGGCGACCGCCCACACUGGUACUGAGACACGGCCCAGACUCCUACGGGAGGCAGCAGUGGGGAAUAUUGCACAAUGGGCGAAAGCCUGAUGCAGCGACGCCGCGUGAGUGAUGACGUCCUUCGGGUUGUAAACCUCUUUCAGCAGGGAAGAAGCGAAAGUGACGGUACCUGCAGAAGAAGCGCCGGCUAACUACGUG
rnacentral:rRNA from 1 species